rnacentral:sRNA from 1 species
AGUGACAGAGUGAGGGAGGGUGUGACUAGUGACAGUUAGGCAGGGAAGGGGUGACUAGUGACAGAGGGAGGGGUGACUAGGGACAGAAUGAGGGAGGUUGUGACUAGUGACAGUCACCACCUCCCUCACUCUGUCACUAGUCACCACCUCCCUCCGUCACUGUGUCACCCCCUCCCUCACUCUGUCACCAGUCAUCCCCUUACUCUGUCACUAGUCACCCCUCCCUCACUCUGCCACUAGUCACCCCUUCCCUCACUCCCUCACUCUGUCACUAGUCACCCCCUCACUCUAGUGACAGAGAG